rnacentral:lncRNA from 1 species
AGGAAACAAUCUGGUUAAGCAGAGGACCCGGCCAUUUAUUGGUGGGUUCUGGCGCUUUCAAGAAUGUGAAGAAUGAGUGGCCAAAGUUAACAAAGGAGCAUGCACAGGGAUGGGGGUCACACCCACUUUGUAGAGUUUAAGAAUAGUAAGGGACCUACGGGAACUUCUCAAGGUAAUAGGUGGCAUGUCUUCUUUCCUUGGCAUGACACAGAAUGUAAAGAUAAUGGGAGGAUGAACCUCCAAGCCUGGAACUUUGGGAGAAGCUUCUCCUCUUGGAAGUGCCAGUAGCAGAAAAGUUCCCAAAUAGAACAGAUUCCUUCAUUCCACCUGAAUUCAGAGAGAGAUCCAUGUGGACACAUGUGCCUCUCCAUCAGAGACUGCUAUCCAGACAUUCAUCUUCCACCUAAAAAUGCACUUCUGCUGUUGACUGCAGGCCAAUGUUCCCAGGAUAAACAGGGUGACAUCCAACUGUUACUUGCCUCAACUUGCCUUUGGGGAUCAAGAAGGAAGUUCCCCCGGGUGGGUGGUAGAACUGGAAGUAGUGUCACAGGCCAUGGGCUCUUUUGCAUUUCUCUUACUGUCUCUCACUUGGCCUGAAUGAUUUAUCACACGAUCAGUUGCAACUGCCAAAGUUUGGGAGCACUACAUUGAUGUGAAGUUCUGGAGACAAAAAGGAACACAAACAGAUAAAGGUAGAGAAGACAAAAGGGUGAAAGAGAGGGCUAACGACUGGGAGAAAGAGAGCAGA